rnacentral:rRNA from 1 species
GGGGGAUUUCGCUCUACACCCUUUGUGAACAUACCUACAACUGUUGCUUCGGCGGGUAGGGUCUCCGCGACCCUCCCGGCCUCCCGCCUCCGGGCGGGUCGGCGCCCGCCGGAGGAUAACCAAACUCUGAUUUAACGACGUUUCUUCUGAGUGGUACAAGCAAAUAAUCAAAACUUUUAACAACGGAUCUCUUGGUUCUGGCAUCGAUGAAGAACGCAGCGAAAUGCGAUAAGUAAUGUGAAUUGCAGAAUUCAGUGAAUCAUCGAAUCUUUGAACGCACAUUGCGCCCGCCAGCAUUCUGGCGGGCAUGCCUGUUCGAGCGUCAUUUCAACCCUCAAGCUCUGCUUGGUGUUGGGGCCCUACAGCCGAUGUAGGCCCUCAAAGGUAGUGGCGGACCCUCCCGGAGCCUCCUUUGCGUAGUAACUUUACGUCUCGCACUGGGAUCCGGAGGGACUCUUGCCGUAAAACCCCCCAAUUUUCCAAAGGUUGACCUCGGAUCAGGUAGGAAUACCCGCUGAACUUAAGCAUAUCAAAGGCGGAAGGAAACCGU